ensembl:lncRNA CCDC26 CCDC26 long non-coding RNA
ACAGUGCUACUGGCCCAUAAUCAGGCAACUGCAGAGUCUUAGGGGGUUAUCUAAUGUAGUCUUGGGGUGGCUGGAUAGACUUCCCAAAGAAGGUGAUGCCGAAGCUGAGGUCGGAAAUUACGAAGAUCAGCUAUGCCUUUUAAAGGACCAUGGGCUGUUUGAGGGGCCAACAUCAUUAACUGCAAACUUGGAAAUCAUGUCUUAGAGAUCAAGGAGCCAAGAGAUGAGACAAGCCUGGGUUCCUAGGUGAUAGGGUGUGGCUGUGUCCCCACCCAAAUCUCGUCUUGAAUUGUAGCUCCCAUAAUCCCCACAUGUUGUGGAGGGACCCUGUGGAAGUGCAGCCCUGGCCAGAGAGGGCAGAAGCCAUUUAUUGUGGAUGCAAAGCUGUGACUAUGGCUGCCUGAACAGUGUGAUAUAUGUUCUCUAUCUCUGCUUUUAUAAGGCAGCUGUUUCUCGGAGGAUCAAGCUCAGAUUUCAAAACCAAGAUCAAGGCAUGGAAAGUGAGACUAACUACAUCAGGCCAGAAAUGAAAAGCAACUUAGGAGUCAAUUUUAGAAACAUCAUCAGUGGUGUAGAAGAGCUCAGGGAAGCAAGGAGGGCUGCUGUGAAUGACACCAUGAAUUUCUGAAUGUGAUGUCCCUUCAAUUCAUGAGGUACUGAAGGCUUUGAUGGGAGAAAGCAUCUCAUUUCCCAUUUCUGAGUCCAACUUCAAAGCACUGACACAUUUGGUGUCUGAUGAUGUCCGGCUUUCUCAUAGACGGCUACCUUCUUCUCACUGUUACCUCAUAUGGUGGAAGAUGAGGCCCAAAAUAGAGGUAGAGAGAGAUUCAAAAAAUCUGGGAGAACACGAGGAAUGUAAAAAGACAGUGAGUGCCUGGUCAGUAUGGCAGACGAGACAGCCACGGAGAAGACCCCAGCCAGUGAAAAGUUAACUUUCAAGAGUGAGUCUGUAGUUGUCUGGAAAACUGAGACUUCAUUAGCAAUUUUCAGUGGCUUACUGCAUAGUACCUCCAAAAA